rnacentral:lncRNA from 1 species
AGAGACUGUGCUGUGUUUAUCUUAGGGAGUUGGAGGGACAGGAACUGAGUUCGUGCUAUUUGUGUCUCUACAAUUCUUUGCAGAUAGUGGACGCUGUAUCCUUCACAGUGAUAGAUGCUUAUAAGAUGACUUUUAAAUUGCUUUGAAAAAUAGAGAGAGGAGUGGAAGGGGAAUAUUAUGAAAUUAACCUGUGGUCCUUGAGUCAGAGCAACUGGCAGAAUAGAACAAUGUGCCAUUCACAUCACCCCCUUUCUGGGCUUUUUCUUAGGGCCUGAGCCUCCUCUCAAUUCAUAGGACCUUCUCUUGAGGGUGGAGGAGGAUUGUGGGCAGACAAAGAGAGAACUGACUGGAUAGGGCACCUUCACAAAUGUUUUUCCUGAAGCCUACAGAAUGGCAUUUUUCUGUUUGUGUUGAAGUUGUCCAACCGGUAUUUUCAAAUGAUGGAUUUCUGGAAAAUUGGAGCCUGGAGGGUGACUUUUCAUAAGAUAGGCUCUGAUCUUUGAUCCAUUUAAAAAACUGCAUACUGGUAGGAAGACUGCAUCGCUGCAGCAAGAAAGUAACCUGGCACACAUGGUAAGAAGUUGCUGGGGUGAGUCCAUAUUGUGGCAUUAAUGAUGAAGUUAUAUGGUACAAUUGUGGAAGGAGCAAGGGUGCUGAGGGCUACAUCAGGUCACAGAGAGCAAAUGAAUUAGACACGUAGAGUAUAAAGUGGAAGGCCAGGUUAGUCCAAGUGCAAAUGCUUUCUAAAAUUAGGAAAUAAUCUUGAAAGUACAGUACACCUUGACAUUAGAUGGGAGGUGACAUCCACAGAAUAUUUACAGAUAUCAUUAUGUGGGUCUUUGACUUUGCAACUUCUUAAAUGAUCAAUAUUUAAAUAUUUGGUGAACAAACAUUAUAGCAAAUAAGACUGGAAAAAUUCUCUUUACUUUCAGAUUUUGCAUUAUAGCUAUUUUCCCAGGAGGAUUGAGAGAUGAAUAGAGAGCUUAAGCAAGUCAUCCAGCAUCGGAAUUUAGAGCUUAAAGGGAACACUAGUGUAUGAGCUAAUCCUACCCCCUUUGGAUCGUAGUUGAGAACAAUGAGACUCAAAUGGCUAAAUGGCUUGAGUUAGUGGCCACACUUGGCUCAGGACUCAGCAUUCCUGACUCCAGGUCUAGGCACUGUCCACCUCACCUCCCUGACCUCUGGGUGAAUAGGAGCUCAGCUGGUUUUGGUUCCUCUGAAGCCUUUAAUGGAGCCCUGGCUAUUGCUCUGCUCUGAAAUGUAAUCUCACUGAAUUCCAGUUCCCACACUGUCUAUACAAUGAUGACAGCAUUAAGCGACUUGCUUACCUUGAAGGAGAGUUAAGCAUGGAAAAAGAGAACAUGUCUAAAAUCACAGUGAGAGGCUCACUGCAGGAAGGGCGACAGGCAAUGUGGAGCUAUACUAGUUUUAGUGGUGUGUGGAGAUUAAAUGUAUAGCCUCUGGGCAGGUCACUUCACCUGUUGGUGCCCCAGUUUCCUCAUCAGUGAAAUGGUGCUAAUAAUAGAACCUACCUUAUUGGGUUCUUAUAAGGAUCAAAUGAAUUAAAACACACACACACACACACACACGCACGCACACACACACACCCCUUAGAAGAGUGCCAAGUAUAUAAUAAGCACACAAAAGAACUCUUGCUAGUACUGAUGUGAGUGUGUUAUUACAUAAUGUGUGACGCCAGUCUUGUAUUGCUUCAUGUCCCCAAGCCUUAUCUCCCUAUCAAGGUUAUAAGUUCCUUGAGGUCAAGGACUGUGCUUCUCCUUAUCUCAGGGAGUUGGAGAUACAGGAACUAGGUUAGCUUUUAUCAUAGAAGUCAUAAG